rnacentral:rRNA from 2 species
UACGUAGGGUGCAAGCGUUGUCCGGAAUUACUGGGCGUAAAGAGCUCGUAGGCGGUUUGUCACGUCGUCUGUGAAAUCCUCCAGCUCAACUGGGGGCGUGCAGGCGAUACGGGCAGACUUGAGUACUACAGGGGAGACUGGAAUUCCUGGUGUAGCGGUGAAAUGCGCAGAUAUCAGGAGGAACACCGGUGGCGAAGGCGGGUCUCUGGGUAGUAACUGACGCUGAGGAGCGAAAGCAUGGGGAGCAAAC